GGAGGAACAUGCUGAGGACUCAAGCAAUCUGCCAUGACUACAGAAAUGGAAACGAAUCGUAUAAUGGAAAUGAAUAGCAGCAGAGCAAUGCCUUCAGGCAAUCAAGAGAUACUGUGCCAAUAUUAUUGUUGAAUUAACUGUCUGUUUUAUGUACUAUAUAUCUUCAUGAUCCUGGAAAUCUGAAACAAUUUAGUCAUAUGCUCCCAGCCAUUUUGAAUGCUUGAGAUGGAAAGGAGAUAUUCCAGCCAUGUUUAAUAGGGGCUUACUAUGAAAGCCUUGCAAUGCUGCAACCAUUUUAAAUAGGGGCUUACUGUAUAAGCUCCCACAUUGCUGCUGAAUGCCGCUUAGGAUGAAUGCCCUCAAUUUACAUAUGAAGUCAGUUUAUACAUGAGUAUAUAUGGUAUCUUUUCUUACUAAGAAUGAAAUACUUCCUGUUAUUUACAAAUAAUAUUAAUAACACACACACACAUACACAAUUUUUAUCAUGUGUGACUAUUGAUGUGGGGUAGAAUGGUUCUUUCACACAGCUGAAUAAAAUCCGACAUUAUCCGCUUUGAACUGGAAUAUACGGCAAUGUGGACUCAGAUAACACAGUUCAAAGCAGAUAUUGUGCGGUUUUCUGCCUUGAUAUACUGGGUUACAUGACUGUGUGAAAGGGCACUUGGUCCAUAUUUAAAGCUUUUUUGUUUUCUGUCUAUGUUUGCAUCUUUCUCUCUUUUUCUAACCUCACCCAUUCCCUCUCAAUAGUAGGUGAAAUUGGAUUCUUCAAAGUUUAUGCAACUACUCAUUUCUCUUGAGUAAAAAAAAAAAAAGGACAAGGGGAGAGUGAAUGAAAUGAGGUGUUUCGUUUGCAUUGUGGUCAAUGUUUUCGAAUUGUAAUGUAACACAAAUUUAAAGAUCCAGCCAGUAUCAAUGGAAUUUAAAUCAAAAUCUCAAUACAAUUAAUGUGAAGUU